GCAUGUCAGGCAUAAACAAGGGGUCAACCACUGUCUCCACUGCUGCAUUAGCAUCUUCUUUUUCCCGUGGAUCAUUGUUUGGAUCUGUCUGUGCAUAACCGAAGAUAACGAGGCGACCCAGCGAACUAUAGUGGUGCAGCAGUAAUGCUUCCCAGAUACUCUAGGACCAACAUAACGCUAGACUGCAUGCUUUUAAAAUAUAUUAAAUUUUAUAAUAAAAAAAUUAGCACAUUAUUUUAUGAUUAUAAAUGGACGACUUAUUAGUUCUCAUGGUGUGUGAACUAGAUUGUAUUGAAUUUUAAUCAUGAGCCAUUUAAUUGAGUUUUAAAUGCACGAAAAUGUUAUUUUUACUGUGUAUAAAAGAUUGUGUAUCAUGGAUGAUAAAAGCUCUAAUAUAUACUUGUUAUACUUA